rnacentral:rRNA from 1 species
GAUGAACGCUGGCGGCGUGCCUAAUACAUGCAAGUCGAGCGAACAGAUGAGGAGCUUGCUCCUCUGACGUUAGCGGCGGACGGGUGAGUAACACGUGGAUAACCUACCUAUAAGACUGGGAUAACUUCGGGAAACCGGAGCUAAUACCGGAUAAUAUAUUGAACCGCAUGGUUCAAUAGUGAAAGACGGUUUUGCUGUCACUUAUAGAUGGAUCCGCGCCGCAUUAGCUAGUUGGGAAGGUAACGGCUUACCAAGGCAACGAUGCGUAGCCGACCUGAGAGGGUGAUCGGCCACACUGGAACUGAGACACGGUCCAGACUCCUACGGGAGGCAGCAGUAGGGAAUCUUCCGCAAUGGGCGAAAGCCUGACGGAGCAACGCCGCGUGAGUGAUGAAGGUCUUCGGAUCGUAAAACUCUGUUAUUAGGGAAGAACAAAUGUGUAAGUAACUAUGCACGUCUUGACGGUACCUAAUCAGAAAGCCACGGCUAACUACGUG